rnacentral:ncRNA from 2 species
CACGGUAAAGAGUAGUCAACCGCCGUUAUCCAGCCUUGGAGCCGAAGCCGUGAGGUGAGGUUUAAGCGUAGGCAGGAAACUAAGCGAGCCGCAAUGCGAAAGCGUGAAGCGAUAGAGCCUCGUUAGAUAUAUAGAGCGGAAGCCGAUGUUAUCACCUGAACAGCAGGCAACAACAUUUAUUCGUUAAUGACGAGAAUAAAUGGGUUCCGUCGGGGUCUGAGAGC